CGUAAACUCAUGAAAACGGAUUUGAAGUACCGUGACACAUAACCGAAGAGCUUUAAUUUCCGGAUCGCAAAUCGGAGAUCAUUUGGAUGGUCGCGCGCGAGAGUUCGAGCCAAACCGGGUCGCGGGUGUCGCGGGCGGCCGAUUGCAAGUGACUACAAGCAAUCGGAGAGUAAGUUAAGGUUCGCACGUGAGCGGCGCGGCGGCGCGAGGAAAGGGCGUAGCUCCAUAGAUAGCGCCCUACCCAGAGACCAGAGAUAGCAAUACUCCGUCGACAUAGCCUAGGGGUUUGGAAAAUAAAAAGAAUACAAUGUAUCAAUUUGUAAUAAGCAAAUGAUGUAAUAACUUAACUGCAUUUGGGAGUUGGAUGUAAAGUAAAUGUAUUAUUGUGAAUGCAUGUAAUAACAUAGGAUGUGUUAUGUUGUGAUA